AUGAACGCUGGCGGCGUGCUUAACACAUGCAAGUCGAACGAUGAAGCCCAGCUUGCUGGGUGGAUUAGUGGCGAACGGGUGAGUAACACGUGAGUAACCUGCCCUUGACUCUGGGAUAAGCCUGGGAAACUGGGUCUAAUACUGGAUAUGACUUCUCAUCGCAUGGUGGGGGGUGGAAAGAUUUAUUGGUCUUGGAUGGACUCGCGGCCUAUCAGCUUGUUGGUGAGGUAAUGGCUCACCAAGGCGACGACGGGUAGCCGGCCUGUGAGGGUGACCGGCCACACUGGGACUGAGACACGGCCCAGACUCCUACGGGAGGCAGCAGUGGGGAAUAUUGCACAAUGGGCGCAAGCCUGAUGCAGCGACGCCGCGUGAGGGAUGACGGCCUUCGGGUUGUAAACCUCUUUCAGUAGGGAAGAAGCGAGAGUGACGGUACCUGCAGAAGAAGCGCCGGCUAACUACGUG
rnacentral:rRNA from 1 species